UAUGAUGAAGAAACGAUCAAUAACCAAAAAAAAAAAAAGAACAGGACUUCCCCGUUGACAUCAUUAUAAAUUACAAUAAUUAGCUAGCAAUCUUCUCAAAAUACAAGGAUCCAAAUCAUGAGUUCCUCCACAAUCGAAGCUCCACCGAUUCAAACUAUGAACUCCGAAGAAGACGACAUUGAAACAAAGACAUCAGAAGUUUAUGCCCCAUGUUGUCCAAACUGCAGCGGCGAUUGCUCGGGAUGUGAAGGAGGUUGUAGUUGCCCGUCAGAAUGUGAAUCGGCUGUCGGAUGUUUGGAAGUUUUUGGUUCAUGCACAUGCUAGCAUUUUAUUCUGACCUCAUCUCAUGUUUCUUCUCCAA